rnacentral:misc_RNA from 1 species
AAAGUCGUAACAAGGUCUCCGUUGGUGAACCAGCGGAGGGAUCAUUAAAGAGUUGCAAAACUCCCACAAACCAUCGCGAACGUUACCUGUAACCGUUGCCUCGGCGGCGCGGCCCCUUGGGGGACGCCCGCCGGCGGUACCCAAACUCUGUUUUUGUAGGCCUCUCUGAGUAUCUUAUCAAAUAAGUCAAAACUUUUAACAACGGAUCUCUUGGUUCUG